GUAGGUGGCAAGCGUUGUCCGGAAUUAUUGGGCGUAAAGCGCGCGCAGGCGGUUCUUUAAGUCUGAUGUGAAAGCCCACGGCUCAACCGUGGAGGGUCAUUGGAAACUGGAGGACUUGAGUACAGAAGAGGAAAGCGGAAUUCCACGUAUAGCGGUGAAAUGCGUAGAGAUGUGGAGGAACACCAGUGGCGAAGGCGGCUUUCUGGUCUGUAACUGACGCUGAGGCGCGAAAGCGUGGGGAGCAAACAGGGAUUAGAUACCCUGGUAGUCCACGCCGUAAACGAUGAGUGCUAAGUGUUAGGGGGGUUUCCGCCCCCUUAGUGCUGCAGCUAACGCAUUAAGCACUCCGCCUGGGGAUACGGCCGCAAGGCUG
rnacentral:rRNA from 1 species